GAGAGAGAAAUAUUUGCUCUUUGUGGUUGGAGGCCAGCAUGCUUUGAAAUGAGCAAUACUUGAUUUUUAUUGGCGCUACAUGUGCGUUUUUCGCAUGCUUUCAUGUGUGUGAGCUGGGGGUUUUAUUCGUUGUAUACAGCGGCUUACAUGCAGGGAUGCAGGAGCGUUGAAUUUGAAUAUUAGAUGCACCUAUUACCAUUGAUCUUGCUGUUCACAUCUGUAGACCAGACCUAGUGAAAAUUUAAAAAUUUAACUUAUUCAUAAAAUAGCAUGCAAUUUUACUUCUGAUCAUUUGUGCAGUGGCUGGGCUAAUACUUGAUUGUUGUUUGAUAUGUCUAAAAAGGAGAAAAAAAGAAACAAAUUUUUUUCAAGAACCGGGCUAAGUGAGAGGAGCACAUACUCUUCAGCCUCGUUUGGUUAUUGAUUUAAUAUUUUUUAAUUACACAACAAAUCUACUAAUAUCUUAUAACAAAAAAAUCAAUUAAAACCAUUUAAAUUAGCUUCUUCUUUUUUUCCCUUUCUUUCAUAGAAGCCCUAAGAAAAUAAACAUUCAUUUGCACUGAGAAGACUCGAAACUUCCACCUCAGAAGUAAGUAGAGAAGGUGCAGCCAUUCCAACCAAGAGGUUGUUUGUAAAUUAGUUGUAUUACACUUGAUUCUUACCCAGGGUGAAUAUUUGACUCUUACUCGCAUGGAUGGAAAAGAAAGUAGUUUACUAUUAAGCUUCCGGUGGUUACAAUGUUUAAAUUGUAUCCCGAACCCUAAAAUUAUAUUAUAAUUUAAAAUUCUGAUAUUGGAACAUACAACAAAGACACGUUAUAAGUGCAAAAAAACAAUCCUAUAUUUUAGAAGUAUGUUUGAAAUUGAGAUUUUGUGAGUUCAAAUCCGCAUCUGUUAUAAAAAAGAAUUAAAUAUGUUAACAGACAAUGGAAAAAAGUUAAAAUAUUAUUUAAGAGUUAAAAAAGAAUAAAUAAAGAAUUAAGACAGAUGCUGACUAAGGAUAUUUACAUUUAUACCAAGGAAAAACCAAAACAAUUCAUUCUAACAAAUGAACUUCAAAUUACAAAGAACUCUUCAUUUGCACUAAUAUAUUUACAUCUGCUCCAACGUCUAUAAAUUUUCUGACAUUAAAACAAUUCAUUUCAUAUUCAUCACUAACUGUAAGUGUAUUAAAAGUUCAACAGUUAAGUAUUGGAACUUCUUGUAAACAUUCAACUAAUUCACUAAAAAUAAUCCAAAGACAUCAAAACUCCAUCAAAAUUUAAAAAAAAAAAAAAAACUAAUGCCAAAACCAAAUGCACCGCAGUAGCUUCUCUAAUUUAUCUCAAUUCUAAGUUUCUAAUUCCUAACAAACAAGAUGACCACAAAAUUCAAAUAAAAAAACCAAAAAAAAGUGAGAAGAAGAUUAAACUUUUAACACCUAAAGGCUUAAACAAGGGAGUUAAUUCUCCGGGGCUUUUAACCAAUAUAUAUGGCAUGAAAAAGUAAAAAAUGAGUUAUUUAAUUAAAAGAACAAAAAUACAAAAUUGAACCUUGAGAUGGCUGGGGUUGUCUUUGAUGAUGGAGACGAACAAAUUGAGAGUGGCCGCCGAUGGCUGCAGCUGGUGGCGAUCGGCGCGGCGGGUUGACUCGUCUGUGGUGGAUUGGGGCUAGAGAAAACGUGAAAUUAGAGUACGAAAUUAGGGAUUUGAUCCCCACCCCCCCCCCCCCCCCCCCCCCAAACAAUGUAUUCACGGUAUGUUAUUAAACAAUUUGCAUCGAAAUAAAAAAUAAAACUAUUGGGUAUUGGCCGUUGGGCGUU
rnacentral:lncRNA from 1 species